rnacentral:lncRNA from 1 species
GCCACUUUAAAGUUAAAAAAACUAAACACACAACAUGUCAAUAAUUGGUGCAACAAAGUAUUUAUUGUUUAUAAUUUUAACAACAUAUAUUAGAUCACAUUGCUAGCACGGAUGCUCCCACGCCUCAAGAAUUAUAGUGGCUAGUUUAACACUUGUGAGACUUGGACCCAAGUAAAUCCUAAAACUGCUUCAUAUGAACUUUGGGAUGUAAAACAACGGGAGUAUUGGAAGAAAAUAUUUCACCCAGGAACUAAGGGGCCUUCAAGUGGGGAGGGUAAACUCCACCACACCUCGUAAGAGGUGUUUGAAGAACUAGUAGGCCGAAAUAGUAGCUGCCCAUCCUAGUGAAAGUAGAGGGAUGGGUGUAAUACCCACCACAAAGUCGACUUGUGCUUUGCACAGUGUCGCACAUUGCUAGUAUGGGCGGUCCAGAAACACCCCAUAAGCACAUUCCUUAACUGGAACUUAAAAAAGGAUCUAAACAUGCUUAAAAGUACCCAAAAGCUACUGAAAUGUGAGCCUCUAUAUACAGACAAGUAAAAUAGUCUUCAUAUUAAGCCAAAUUCGUCAAAAUUCAUGUUCAAUGAAGGUCGUUCAAUAAAGCCAAGCAACUAUCCGACAGGCAAAUGUAAAACAAAUUGUGCAUUGCCAGUGAUUUUUAAGCAUGCUUUGAACCCUAGAAAAGAGAUCAUAGUACCCA